rnacentral:lncRNA from 1 species
UAUUUUUAUAUUACCUAGAGAAUCGAAUGAAAUUAUUAUUUUAAGUUCUACACUAUAAUCAUCUAAACUAUCUUCUAGCUCUUCAAUGGUUAUAGUUUUUCUAUUCAUUUUGCCUUUUCUAGAUAUUUUAAAAAUAAGAUUAUUCUCAUUGCAGAUAACCAUCAGAUUAGAAUCAGUUAGAUUUCUCAUCCAUUUCAGAUUUAGGAA